rnacentral:rRNA from 1 species
CAGUAGCCGCGGUAACACGAAGGGGGCUAGCGUUGCUCGGAAUUACUGGGCGUAAAGGGCGCGUAGGCGGACAGUUCAGUCGGGGGUGAAAGCCCGGGGCUCAACCUCGGAAUUGCCUUCGAUACUGGCUGUCUUGAGUAUGAGAGAGGUGUGUGGAACUCCGAGUGUAGAGGUGAAAUUCGUAGAUAUUCGGAAGAACACCAACGGCGAAAGCACUCUGCUGGGCCGACACUGACACUGAGAGACGAAAGCUAGGGGAGCAAAUGGGAUUAGAUACCCCCGUAGUCCCUGUCUCUUAUAC